rnacentral:rRNA from 1 species
GGGGAGCCAUCAGUGAGAUACCACUCUUGGUAAGCUAGAGCGCUCAGUCUUCACCGUCAUCCGGUAAGACGACAGUUUCAGGCGGGCAGUUUGACUGGGGCAGUCACCUCCCAAAAGGUAAUGGAGGUGUGCAAAGGUUCCCUCAGGCUGGACGGAAAUCAGCCAUAGAGUGUAAAAGCAUAAGGGAGCUUGACUGCGAGACUGACAUGUCAAGCAGAGACGAAAGUCGGCUUUAGUGAUCCGACGGUGCUGUGUGGAAAGGCCGUCGCUCAACGGAUAAAAGUUACUCUAGGGAUAAC